ACUGUGGGGCACGAUGGUGUAUGCCUGUAAUCCCAGCUACUUGGGAGUCUGAGGUGGGAGGAUGGCUUGAGCCCAGGAGCUCUGGGCUGCACUUUGCUAUGCCCAUCCGGUGUCUGCACUAAGUUCGGAAUCAAUAUGGUGACUCCUGGGAGUGGAGGACCUCUAGGUUGGUUAAGAAGGGGUGAACCGGCCCAGGUCAGAAGCGGAGCAGCUCAAAACUCCUGUGCUUAGGAGUAGUGGCAUCAUGCCUGUGAAAAGCCACUGCACUCCAGCCUGGAUAAAAUAGUGAGACCCCAUCUCA
ensembl:misc_RNA RN7SL798P RNA, 7SL, cytoplasmic 798, pseudogene